AAUAUCAGCUGGUAAUUCU
rnacentral:miRNA from 7 species